AGCAGCCGCGGUAAUUCCAGCUCCAAUAGCGUAUAUUAAAGUUGUUGCAGUUAAAAAGCUCGUAGUUGAAUUUCAGGCCUGGCUGGACGGUCCGCCCUUCGGGUGAGUACUGUCUGUGGUCGGGUCCUACCUUCUGGCGAAGCGUCAUGGCCUUAACCGGCCGUGGCGGGGAACCAGGACUUUACUGUGAAAAAUUAGAGUGUUCAAAGCAGGCAAAUCGCUUGGAUACAUUAGCAUGGAAUAAUGGAAUAGGACGAUGGUUCUAUUUGUUGGUUUCUAGGACCGUUGUAAUGAUUAAUAGGGAUAGUUGGGGGGCAUUAGUAUUCAAUUGUCAGAGGUGAAAUUCUUGGAUUUAUUGAAGACUAACUACUGCGAAAGCAUUUUGCCAAGGAUGUUUUCAUUAAUCAAGAACGAAAGUUAGGGGAUCGAAGACGAUCAGAUACCGUCGUAGUCUUAACCAUAAACUAUGCCGACUAGGAAUCGGGCGAUGUUGACAAAAUUGACGCGCUCGGCACCUCAU
rnacentral:rRNA from 1 species